AGUGAACGCUGGCGGUAGGCCUAACACAUGCAAGUCGAACGGCAGCACAGUAAGAGCUUGCUCUUACGGGUGGCGAGUGGCGGACGGGUGAGGAAUACAUCGGAAUCUACUUUUUCGUGGGGGAUAACGUAGGGAAACUUACGCUAAUACCGCAUACGACCUACGGGUGAAAGCAGGGGAUCUUCGGACCUUGCGCGAUUGAAUGAGCCGAUGUCGGAUUAGCUAGUUGGCGGGGUAAAGGCCCACCAAGGCGACGAUCCGUAGCUGGUCUGAGAGGAUGAUCAGCCACACUGGAACUGAGACACGGUCCAGACUCCUACGGGAGGCAGCAGUGGGGAAUAUUGGACAAUGGGCGCAAGCCUGAUCCAGCCAUACCGCGUGGGUGAAGAAGGCCUUCGGGUUGUGAAGCCCUUUUGUUGGGAAAGAAAAGCAGCAGGUUAAUACCCCGCUGUUCUGACGGUACCCAAAGAAUAAGCGCCGGCUAACUUCGUG
rnacentral:rRNA from 1 species